UACGUAGGGUGCAAGCGUUGUCCGGAUUUAUUGGGUUUAAAGGGUGCGUAGGCGGUCUAUUAAGUCAGUGUUUAAAUUUUGCAGCUUAACUGUAGGUAUGGCAUUGAUACUGAUGGACUUGAAUAUUAUAGAGGUAGCUGGAAUUUAUGGUGUAGCGGUGAAAUGCAUAGAUACCAUAAGGAACACCGAUAGCGGAGGCAGGUUACCAUGUGAUUAUUGACGCUGAGGCACGAAAGUGUGGGGAUCAAACAGG
rnacentral:rRNA from 1 species